UACGGAGGGUGCAAGCGUUAUCCGGAUUCACUGGGUUUAAAGGGUGCGUAGGUGGGGUGGUAAGUCAGUGGUGAAAUCUCCAGGCUUAACUUGGAAACUGCCAUUGAUACUAUCAGUCUUGAAUACCGUGGAGGUCAGCGGAAUAUGUCAUGUAGCGGUGAAAUGCUUAGAUAUGACAUAGAACACCAAUUGCGAAGGCAGCUGGCUACACGAAUAUUGACACUGAUGCACGAAAGCGUGGGGAUCAAACAGG
rnacentral:rRNA from 1 species